rnacentral:rRNA from 1 species
AUUGAACGCUGGCGGCAUGCCUUACACAUGCAAGUCGAACGGUAACGGGCCUUCGGGUGCCGACGAGUGGCGAACGGGUGAGUAAUACAUCGGAACGUGCCCGAUCGUGGGGGAUAACGAGGCGAAAGCUUUGCUAAUACCGCAUACGAUCUACGGAUGAAAGCAGGGGACCGCAAGGCCUUGCGCGGACGGAGCGGCCGAUGGCAGAUUAGGUAGUUGGUGGGAUAAAAGCUUACCAAGCCGACGAUCUGUAGCUGGUCUGAGAGGAUGAUCAGCCACACUGGGACUGAGACACGGCCCAGACUCCUACGGGAGGCAGCAGUGGGGAAUUUUGGACAAUGGGCGCAAGCCUGAUCCAGCCAUGCCGCGUGCAGGAUGAAGGCCUUCGGGUUGUAAACUGCUUUUGUACGGAACGAAAAGCCUUCUUUUAAUACAGGAGGGUCAUGACGGUACCGUAAGACUAAGCACCGGCUAACUACGUG